GAUGAAGAACGUAGCGAAAUGCGAUACGUAAUUUGAAUUGCAGAAUUCAGUGAAUCAUCGAGUCUUUGAACGCACAUUGCGCCCCCUGGUAUUCCGGGGGGCAUGCCUGUCCGAGCGUCAUUGCUGCCCUCAAGCACGGCUUGUGUGUUGGGCCUCCGUCCUCCUCCCGGGGGACGGGCCCGAAAGGCAGCGGCGGCACCGCGUCCGGUCCUCGAGCGUAUGGGGCUUCGUCACCCGCUCUUGUAGGCCCGGCCGGCGCUUGCCGACACAUCAAUCUUUUUUCCAGGUUGACCUCGGAUCAGGUAGGGAUACCCGCUGAACUUAAGCAUAUCAAUAAGCGGAGGA
rnacentral:misc_RNA from 1 species